AUUCAUUCAGGACACACACACGCACACACUCACACACACCGUGGACCCGCCGUCAAGCUAGCUACGGAGCUAACAGCACCACAUCCGGUCAGCCCCUUCAGAGUAAAACCAAAAGUGGGCGUGUGGGGGCUACUUCCGGGCAUUACCAAGAGGGGAUUCCACACGCAUAUACAAACUGCUGGUCGGGGACCUCAACCUGCUGUGUAUCGGCUGUCUGCUGAUGUGGUGCAGCUCCACCAACAGCAUGGCAUUACAUGAACCCAAACUGAGACGUCCACCUUAAAUAUAGAGCGAUGCCUCCACUCACUGAACAGAUGACUGACAGCAGAGUUCAACUAAUGGAGACUGAAAACACACUGAAUCAGAAUCACUGUGACUUUACUGCAUCAAAAGAGAGAAGAAAAAGUACAUUUACAGUAUUUUGGAUUUGAUAUACUUUUUUCAUUACAAACAUUUUAAAUAUGUUAUAAACCAUAUUUGAUUUCAUUGCUUGGAAAUUUCAAAUUUUUCUUAAAAUUAUGAAGUUUUUGGAUCUGAAGAAAUAAACAUGCAGUUUUUAAUUGAUUUGUUUAUUUGUGCCCAUCUUUUAUUUGGUUCUUCAUGGUCUCUCUCUCUCUCUCUCUCUC